AUGGCUUCUUCUUCAUCGAUCUGGCGUCUCUUCGCAGCGCCUCAACUUCAAUCGUUUUCAGAUUCCUACGAUCUUCUACCACCUUCGUUCAUACUGCCUCUCCGUCCACUCACAAUUUCUCAUUUCAGCUGCAUAUCAACUUCGUUCUACCUUAAUUCAUCUUCUAAUCCGUCUUCAACUCAGUGUCAUAGAGUUCAAAUGUGA